rnacentral:tRNA from 1 species
AAUUAUUUAGUUUAUAAAAACAUAUGUCUUGAAAUCAUAAAAAGGUUAAUCCAAUAAUUA